rnacentral:rRNA from 1 species
GGCUCGCGGCCUAUGGAUGAGUCUCGCGGCGUAAUCAGCCUACCAAGGAGGUAAUGGCUAGCCAAUCUGAGGACGGGUCCAGCCCCUGAGAGGGUGACCCACCACCCUGACACCUAGACACGGCAGCAGACUCCUAAUUUUUCACAAUGGUGGAAAAUAUUGCACAGCGGCGAAAGCAGGAUGAUGAAGACGCUGGGUGAGGUAAACCGGCCUCAUUUGUGAACAACCUCUUUCAGCAGGGCAGAAGCUCAUGUGACGGUAGCAGCAGAAGAAGCACCGCCUAACUAUGUCCCAGCAGCCGCGGUAAUACAGAGGGUGCGAGCGUUGUCCGGAAUUAUUGGGCGUAAAGAGUUUGUAGGCGGUUUGUUGCGUCGGCAGUGAAAAUCCGGGGCUCAACCCCGGACUUGCGCCGGAUACGGGCCGACUAGAGUAUGGGAGGGGAGACUGGAAUUCUCGGUGUAGCGGUGAAAUGCGCAGAUAUCGGGAGGAACACCGGUGGCGAAGGC